UAUAGUUUACCAUUAUUUAGAUAUUUUACAGAUAUUUAUUUACAUAUGCAAAAACAUUUAUAUAUAAAACUACAUUUGUUGUCAUUCGCAGAUCGCAUGUGCGAAUCUGAUAUCUAACCACAAAAAGACGCUAAAAUGGAAAAUUCGAACGCUUGUUAUGAAUUUUUAUUCUAAACGCGAUGUGAUAUGAUGUUUGCAUAUGAAAGAGGUUUUCCUCAAAGUUUCGCGAGCAUGAGCAGGUCGACGAUUACGAUAAAUUUUGUACGCGUGUGACUAACCUCUCUGAUUAGACAAUCGUUUGCCGAAAAGUGUUGCAUUUCUGUCAAGUGUUGUAUUUAAAAAGAAAUCAGAAAGAUAUGGCUGGUACCAUGAGACAGUUGGAGGAACGUCAGCUCCCUGCGGAGGUGACGACGAUGCUGUGGUCACCGAAAAUGGAUCUUUUAGCAGUUAGCAAUGUUAAAGGUGAAGUUGUCCUUCAUAGACUCACGUGGCAAAAAGUAUGGUUGUUGAGCCCUCAAGACGAAUCCGAUGUCACUGCUCAUUUGGCAUGGAGACCAGAUGGAAAGCUGCUUGCGGUUUGCUAUGAGAUUUCCAAGCUACUGUGUCUUGUUGACGUUGAGACUAAAAAUAUCAUUCAUAAAGUCAAAUUGCCCACAAACGAACUGACCGUUUAUGUCAAGUGGUUGUCACUCUCCAAUACUGAACACGAAGGUUCAUUGACAAAUGAUAAAACUAAUAAACCUACAGGCGAAUAUCUGCCACCUCUGCCUAGUUUAAUCAGAAGUUAUAGCGCAGAACCUGAGCGGAAAGAAUUUUUAUCCCACAUCCUAGAUAUGCUCUUUAUUGGUCAAAAAGAUGGUACGGCAUUAAUGUACAUUUUUGGUAUGUUUUAUUGUGGCACUAUAACUGUAGGCCACGGACCAAUCUUGCAGAUUACAGGCGGAUAUAAUAAUCCAAUAUGGAUUACAUGGAAAGAUAAUAAUUGUGUUAAGAUAACUAGAAUAUCAUGUCCAUUAUUUGACAGAAGCACAGCGCUUCUCAAGGUUGCGCAGACUCAAGCCAACAUAGAAUGUUUGAAAGAUUAUCUCUCACGUACCUUAAUGGCUACUUGUGAAGCUUGGGAGACAAUACUUUUGGAAAUGGAUGAAAAACUUACCCGGUAUGCAGAGGCAAAUCCACCUGGUACUAUGUCUGCAGACUUUUUGGAACUAUUGAUGAUUGGAAUACCCACGAAAAAUUUAGAAACUUUUCUACUUAGAGAUCUCACAGAGAAAGGAUUAAAAAAAUUCGGACACAGUAUUGAAAUGUGUUAUAGUAACAUACAGAAAUUAGUUUCCAAAAAUUUAACUAGCGUCGGUAUGGCUCUAGUUUAUCAAUUAGCUGAAUUGAGAGGCAUGGUGAGAGCAGGUGGCACGUACGAAGCACUAGGAUUGCGCGAUGAAACACUCAUAACUAGUGCUAUUAAUGAAUCUGAAGCUUUUCUAGCAAAAUCAUAUGAGAUUGAGCAAGUUAUAGAUCAAAGUAUGCGCAAUUACAAAGCAUUUUUUCGAUGGUUGUACGUAGCUAUUCUCCAACUAACGGAUGAAAGAGCGCCAUCGGAAGUAAGCCGCGUAAGUCAGCAGGAGUUGACAUUUAUCGCAGAAUUUCUGAGUGACUUUGACAAACCAAAAGCAAACGGCAGAGUAAAUUUGGAAAAAUUGGGUCAAUAUUUGCGUCACGAAAAUCUGCAGACUCCCCUGACUUCGGAAGGAAGCGAAUGGGCUGCGAUGCUCGAUGCAAACGAUUGCUUACGCGACUAUGCCCAUAUAGUAAAGCAGAAUUUUAAUUUAUCCUUACUACAGUCUCAUGUAAAAUUAGUCGCUGCUAUAGAAAAUGUUUUUGUUGAAGCCUAUCAGAGCUUAGUUGAUCACUUUGUGAUGAUUUCUAUCUCUUUACCGUCAUUUACAUCUCUUAUAUCUUCGCAAAUUGUAACAAACGAUGGAAAUCUUUUGUUAGCUAUGAGCGAUAUCGAUAGCAAAUUUUUGAGACUUUUCAACAUAAGAUACUCGUCUGUAGACCCUGUACCUCUUAGUUCAAAGAUGAUCACGAUAGAUGUGAGUCAUAAGCAAGGAGAAUGUCCGAAAGAAAACGUCGAUACUGUGAUAGUAGAUUUGCAAUUUUACUCGCAAGAUUAUCUUAGCUUGCUUAUAUUAAAUAAACAAACUCAUGCAUCGUUUCUUAUACAAAUGCCAUUACAUAGCAUAUCUACGCAUGAGUAUCAAGAUAAUGAUGCAGUGGUGUCGAUAACUGAAUUCAUUGGUGCAACAUGGCCGAAACCAUUUCAAGGAAUAUCUGCGAGACGACUAGCAGUCAGUGGCCCUCGGAAAGUAGCUGCUAUUUUGAAUGAAAACAAUAGAAAGAUUCGUUUACUCGAAACUGAAGCGGAACCCGAGGACGAGGAAGAUGAUGAGGAAGAAGAAGGACGUUUUGUAGAAAAUAUGAUGGAUACCACACCUAAUGCAAAUUUUCCUGCGGAAACAGCAAAAACUGAUGUACAAGAAUUCUAUAAGGAAGAAAACAACUAACGUAGAAGUAGAAUAUAUAUUUAAGUAAUAAUUAGAAGAACGACAGCUACAGCAACCACCAGUACCAUAACAGCAGUCAUUCCCCGUAACAGGAUUUCCUGGACCAAUAACAG